rnacentral:lncRNA from 1 species
CUUGAACCCGGGAGACGGAGGUUGCAGUGAGCCAAGAUUGUGCCACUGCACUCCAGCGUGGGCAACGGAGAGACUCUGUCAUAAAAAAAAAGAAAAGAAAAAGAAAGAACCAGGUGACAUUGUGCAAGUUACACCAUACAUCACAACGUCAGUUUUCCUAUCUGCAAAAGGGGUUUAUUAGUAGGGACGGCAUAGAGAUUAAAUGAGGUAAUGCAUGUAAAGUGCUUAGCUGGGGGCUGGACAUAAUAAACGUUAGCUGCACCAGCCGUUAUUAAACCCUGAGCAUGCUCACCUCAGACAAGGGGUGCAUCAGGGACCUGGCUGGAGGAUCAAGCACAGGGAUCUCCAUGGCAUGGGUCCAGAGUCACAGCUCUGCAUGUAGCUUAGUGAAGCCAAAGGCCCCACAAGUUGUUCCUCAUCCUCUGACAUAAGUUCUAUUAAACCUCAGCAGCUCAUUCUUCUUGGUGGUAGUGAGUUCUCUUAGUGAUCAAAGCACAAAGGUGUCUGGCUAGCACUGUUCCCUCCUUUUGGGCAGGCUAGUUGGGUGGGCAGGGAGUGCAGGGGCCAUGGGACCAGCAGGGCCCCCAGUGACUGCCAAGGUCCAAGGCACCUCCUGCUGGCUCAUUCAGCCCCCUCCUGUUCUGGUCCUUCCCCUUCCCCAGCCCACAGCCCCAUCUUGUCCUCCUCCACCCUCCUUGCUCUCUUGCUGGGAGCAGGGACAGCAAUGCUAGUCUCCCCUUUGACGCUUUUCCUGAACAUUGGCUGAGCAUCAGUUUCCUACACUGGCAGAAGCGAGACACACAGUAGGCUUUCAAGGACAGAGAGGAGGAGGACUGAAUGCUUAGAAGACAGCAAAG